UCUUCGAGAUCAAUAGGGGCAAACGGGGAGAUACCUAUUGUGGGGAGAGCGGUGAAAUGCGAUGACCCCCAUAAGAGGAACUUCAGCGAAAGCAGUUCUCAAGACUGCCUUCGUUAAUCAAGAACGAGACUGUGGGGAUCGAAGAUGAUCAGAUACCGUCGUAGUCCACUAGCGUAAACGAUGCCGACUCAUCAUUGGGGGGCAUCUCUAACAAGCGCCCCCCAGUGGUUCUCCCCCCUGUAAGAGAAAUCAAAGUUUAUGGGCUCAGGGGGGAGUAUGGCUGCAAGGCUGAAACUUGAAGGAAUUGACGGAAUGACACCACCAGGCGUGGGGUCUGUGGUUUAAUUUGACUCAACAC
rnacentral:rRNA from 1 species